GCGCGCUCUCUCGCACGAUCUGCUCCCGGACUCCUUCAGCGCGCUGCCUGCCUGCCCAGGGCCUUCCCGGAGAGCAGGUGACGGCGGCCUCCGGGCAUGGAGCUCGCGCUGACGAAAGGUUCUGGAAGCCGCCGUAAAAAGUAAUCAAGAAACGGGUGACAGGACUUUUCCCCUUUGAGGAACCGUUUGAGGUGUGGCACGAUACAGCAAGUCAGCUGCCAAAGAGGGGCUUAGCCACAGGAAGUGCGUGCCCAGAACGCAUCUCCCGUGUCCCUCACAGCAGUUCUAUGAGGCUGGCUGCCCUGUUUGACAACUGAGGCCCGCAUCUUCCCCGGAAUCACCGACGUGUGGCUCUGAGCCCUGUCCCAGGGAUUUUCUCCAUCAGAGAAGAGGAGCACUUUGAGCUUUGAGAGGAGCAGCCCUCUGCAAGUGAAGUGGAAAAAAAGGAAGCAGGCGAGGAGGCCCAUCCAGACCCUCCCCCAAGACCCUUGCUGAAAUGGCUGGGAUGCGGCGUGCAGAAGCUCUCCUUUCCUUCACAGCCCCUGGCUUUCCAAGAGUCCCUGCCCACCCAGAUGCCCGCUGGCAGAUGCAGCCUCAUCUCAAGGACACUGCUUGCUGGAUAAAUCCCUCACCACCCUAGAGACAGCCCACGGUCCUGAGACAAGGAUGCGGGCCAGGCUUGUUGCACGUAAGCGCCUCCCGCAGAAACCAGUGAGGCCGGAGUUCCAGAGGAAAUGAUGUAGGGACAGAGGCAGAGGGCCUCCAGGAGGCACCAGCCCCAGAGUCUUCCCUAGAAUCAGACUUUAAGCACAAGCAGGGAGGGAAAGCACUUGAGCAGUGCCCGUCCCUGCAUACCUGGCCUCUGCUGGAACCCAUGCAGGGACAGGACACUUCUUUAUCAGCAAUCCUGUUCCUCUCCUGGGCAGCUUCAACCUGAACAUCCUCCUUCACCUUGAGCUAAAAUGGGUUUCUUGUCACCCUUGCCCAUCAAACCUGGCCUUGCCCUCAGGAACCACACAGGACAAGCCUAAUACUUCCUUCUUGUGGCAACACUUUAGCAAUUGAGACCUGGCUGUCAGGUCCUCCAAAUAAACAUUUGUGACUGUGAUGUUGACUUGCCGCUUCUGGGGACCUCUUCUCAUUUGAUCGGAGAAAGUUUUUCAGGGUUAAACCUACUUCUUUCCCCCAAGAAACUCUUCUUGUCAGGCUCACGCCUAUAAUCCUGGCACUUUGGGAGGCCAAGGCAGGAGGAUUGUUUGAGACCAGCCUGGGCAACGUAGGUAGACUAUGUUGCUACAAAAAGAAAAAGAAAAAAUGGCCAGGUGUAGUAGUCCCAGCUGCUUGGAGGCUGAGGUAGGAGGUUUGCUUGAGCCCAGGAGGUCGAGGCUGCAGUGAGCUAUGAUUGUGCCACUGCACUCUAGCCUGGGAGACAGAAUGAGGCCCUGUCUCAAAAAAAAAAAAAAAAAAAAAAAGAUGAUGAAACUCCUCACGUAUUUCUCCCCGGAGCAUGUGCUCCCAGGCUCAAAUCCACAGCAGCCUCGUUACACACACGUCAUCCCCUGGCCCCGAGAUAUUGCACCGCCUUCCCCUUUCUAGCUCUGAACCCCCACAUGAAGCAGCCAGACGUAGGAAAACCCAGAUUCAUAAAGCGCUGAUAUGGGUGGUCCUUUACCAAAGGAUUUUCUGCUUUACAAAGUAAUUCACCAAAUGAUUUCCCUAGAGUAUGGGCAGAGAUUUGCAAACUACAGCUUGGAACCAAGCUGCCUUUUUUUUAUAAUAAAGUUUUAUCAGGAUGCAUCCACAUCCAUUCAUCUCUGUGGUGCCAGCUGCUCUAGCUACACAGGCAGAGUGGAAGAGUUGCAGAUGGCCAACAAAACCUAAACUGUUUACCGCCUGGCCCCUUAUAGAAGCAGCUGGCUGACGCUGGCUCCAGGGCAUCAGAAAUGGGACCAUUGGAAAGGAGUAGCCGGGCUACAUGGUUUUUCUUCUGCCCCACGUCUUGUUCUCAAACAUGCUUCCUCCCCAGUCAUCUGAGGAAUGUCAGUCUGAGACAGUCAGGAGCAGGUGUGCCUAGGGAUGCAUGGUUUCUGAAAAUGGGGUGGGGUCUUUUAGGCUGAGGGCUCUGGCAGCUUCUGUCUGAAGGCUGAGCUGAGCUGAGCAGAGCUGGGCAUGGUGGCUCACGCCUGUAGUCCCGGCUACUCAGGAGGCCAAGGUGGGAGAAUCACUUGAGCCUGGGAAGUUCAGAGGAGCCUGGGCAACACAGUGAGACCUCAUCUUUAUUUUUUGAAAUUUUUUGUUUUUAUUAUUUUUUUAAUUUUUAGGAGCAGAGGGUUAAUAGGCAAAAGAAAGAGAGAGAGGAAAACAGCUCUCUCCAGUGAGAGAGAGGGUACUUCUGAAAGGAAAACGCCACCGGCAGCAGAUGCACUGGAUUUUAUAGUCAGGCUUGAGGAGGUGGUGUCUGAUUUACAUAGGGCUCACAGAUUGGUUCAGUCAGGUAUGAUGUUUACAUAGCGCUGGGGUGUGGGGAAGGCUGACCUCCCCACUCUAAUCUUAUUAUGCAAAUGAACUUUCCCCUUGGCCAGCACCAUCUUGUCUGCUCCUUACUGUGCACGUGGCUGGCAGAGAAGGGAAGAUGGAGCCGCCAUUUUGAACAUGAUUGGCACAACUGCCUGCAUCUAUGUCUGCAGCUCGAUUUUACACGCUGCUCUUUGUUAGAAAGGAAAAUGAUUUGGGGCUGCUUUUCAGUAAAAGGAAAACCUUACUGAGGACUUCUGUAUCCUCACUAUCUAAGUAAUUUCCUCUUAACUCCUGUAUCAUUCCCCACUCUGGAGUGGUAACCCUAACUGCUCUUCGGGGUUGUUUGAUGAUGACUCUUUCUGGCUACUUCAUACUUAAAAGGGGUGUUGUGUGGGGAACAGAAGCUAAGGGCUCCUCCUGGGGUCGAGCUAAGGGUCCUCGGAAAAAAGGCAUGUCCGUGCAUGGUUCUGUCUGCAGCACCAUUUAGAGUUUGAUUACUGUCAGCCAUUCUGAUGGGUUGUAACACUGGUUUGCCUCCACCAGAUGUUGAGAUAGUUUCCAGAUUCCAGAGAAACCAGG
rnacentral:lncRNA from 1 species